AAGAUUCUUAAUUUGGUUAUUUUAUCUAUUUAUUUAUAUAAAAAAGUUUAAGUUUUCUUCUUUUUAUGUAUGCAGGUGCAAUCUUUGGUUUUUUUCUUCUCGUGUUAGUGAUUGUUAUGCUUUAUCGUGUCUAUAGCUCAGAUAAAGUAGAAAGAGAGAAUAGAGUAAAGGUUAAAAAGUUUCUAGAAGACUAUGAAGCUCUCAAGCCCUCAAGAUACUCCUAUGUUGAUGUUAAAAGGAUCACAAGUCAAUUCAAAGAUAAAUUAGGCCAAGGAGGAUAUGGAACUGUGUACAAAGGAAAGCUUUCAGAUGAAGUUUUUGUUGCAGUAAAAAUCCUUAACAAUUCUCAAGGAAAUGGGGAAGAGUUCAUUAAUGAAGUGGCAACAAUGGGUACAAUCCACCAUGUUAAUAUAGUUCGUUUAGUUGGAUUUUGUGCUGAUAGAUUUAAACGAGCUCUAAUUUAUGAGUACUUACCAAAUGAGUCAUUGGAGAAGUUCAUAUUUUCAAAAGUUGUCAAGAACUAUUCACUUAGUUGGAAGAAACUUCAAGAAAUUGCUAUAGGUAUAGCAAAAGGAAUUGAGUAUCUUCAUCAAGGUUGUGAUCAAAGAAUCCUUCAUUUUGAUAUCAAACCUCAUAAUAUUUUACUUGACCACAACUUUAAUCCAAAGAUUUCUGACUUUGGUUUAGCCAAAUUGUGCUCCNNNNNNNNNNNNNNNNNNNNNNNNNNNNNNNNNNNNNNNNNNNNNNNNNNNNNNNNNNNNNNNNNNNNNNNNNNNNNNNNNNNNNNNNNNNNNNNNNNNNNNNNNNNNNNNNNNNNNNNNNNNNNNNNNNNNNNNNNNNNNNNNNNNNNNNNNNNNNNNNNNNNNNNNNNNNNNNNNNNNNNNNNNNNNNNNNNNNNNNNNNNNNNNNNNNNNNNNNNNNUAGUUGUUCAUCAUCAUAGCAUCUUUAUUUAUAUUUCUGUUAAUUGAACAUAUGAUUGUAUAAAAUGAUUAUACUAGUGGCUCAAUUGAUGUUAGAUUCCAGAAGUUCUUAUUCCCAUGUAAUGUAUUUCUUGUGUAUUAAAUUUUAAUGAAUAUGUCCAAGAAUAUUCUCGCAACCCAAUUUAUAGUUCAGCUACACACAACUCUAUAGAUCACCUUUCAAUCAAGUAAGAGUAACUAAUGUCCAUCACAUUCAAGAUAGAAAGUAUUGCACGAAAUAGUAAUAGAAUUAGAUCUAGGAAACUUGAAAAUAAGAGUCCCAUCCACUACACCUAUAUAGAGUUUCUUUUGUUUCUUUUUUCUUCUUCUUCUUUUUUCUUUUUUGCCUUUACCACUUUUUUAUUAGAUUGAGAAGUAAGCCUAAUUAGUUAUGUAAUGACUAAAUUAUACUGAAUGGUGAUGGCUCGUUGGAGAACUUUGCAUCGAAUAAAAUGGAGAUCGAUUUCGAUGUGUUUUCUCCUUGCAUGAAACACUGGAUUUGCUGCUAGCUAAGUAGCACUUCGGUUAUGACACCAUAUCAAUGGUGAAGAUAAGGCAUGUAUCCUAACAAUAAAGGAGUUAGAGAGUCAGGUGAAUGCUUGAUCUUGAACUUUAUCAAUACAAAUUACCAAUGGACCAUAUGUACUAGACCACGAAAAAUAUUAGAUUGUGGGAGAAAUGAACCAUAUGAUAUGUGACCAUGUAGUAAUCAUUGAGAAAGGAAAAAAACAUGGACUCAAUAGAUUAUGUAAUAAUAAUAAUAAUAAUAAUAAUAAUAGAUUCAAACUCUCUCAAUAUAUGGUAUAUAUUGUUUAACCUAAACAACAAAAAGCCUAGUGGCUGAGGACCUUGUCUUAGCCGAGAGGUCUGAGGGUUCCUCCAUGUGUUUAAGAUUAACUGCAUUUAGGCCAGAACAUUAAAUCAAUGGAACAAUCUACUUUGUUUCACUGGGCCAAGCCCAAUGGUAGGUCCAUAGGCAGAGCUUGGAUCAUGUGCUAGUCAGGCUGGGUUAGGCCUGAUACAGACCUAAUUUGAUCAUGGCAGCCCAAUAAGAUAAUGGAUUCUUUCCUAGCUACUUACAAUCAAUAUUUUUCUUUAUUUUCUUCAUAUUUUUCCAAGGAUAUGAACCUAAAAAUACAAAGUAAUACAAUUGCUAUUGAUUACUACUCAAAACAUGCUAUUUAGUAGCUUGUAAUUAGCUCUUUUAAACAACCUUGAGUAGUAAUUAUUACCUUUUAACUCAAUUAACAUGUUAGGGACCCUUGCAAUCGUUUCUAACAAUUGUGUUGAGUUUUGGUGCUUUUUGAUAGCUUUAUGCUCACCAAAGCAAUUUAUGAAUGAGGGAGAGCUAAAUAUGGUUCAUGGCAAAGCUUUUGGAAAGCUUAAAUUUAUGAAGAAACCAAGCUUUGGAGCCUCAUAAUCCUUUGCCUUAGUAGUUCAAAAUAUGCAAGGAGAGAACAAUGGAGAAGAGGAAAACAGGGUGAUGAAAACAGGGGACACAGCUGCAGUCUUUCAUUGCCCUUUUGGAGCACUUCCCGAAGUCCAUUUUUUACAUUCUAUAUACCAUUUCAAAGCUCAGAAAGUCAAGAAUCCAACGAUUCAAACCAUGUACAAUUUGGAGCUGAAAUGAGGAAGAUAUGGCCUUCGGAAGACAACUGCAUCAAGCUGAGGGACAAUUUCGCACGAUGGAAAGCAAGGUGCGAAUUCCUCAGUCCAAAGCAUGGGAAUUUCGCACACCUCAUUUCAAGGUGCGAAAUUGCAACUCCAACGUGCGAAAAUGGGAUAUUUUUGCCGACUCUUUUUCUUCUGAUAUUUUUGUGUCUAAAUUUCCAUUUUCUCCUUGUAUUCAGCCACUUAUGUAAUUCCUUAGCUAGGAAGUAUCCAAGGGAGGGUAAAAUUACCUUCCUAUAUAAAUUCUCUUGUAAUCACUGAAAAAUCAUCUUUUCGGGGAGCUUUCUCCAGGAGACCAACUAUUGUAAUUUUGAUACUUAGUGAAAUACAGAGAUCUCUUUUGCUUUCUUUUUCCCUCUACUAUUUUCUAUUUUCUUGGAAGCCAAACACCCUCUGAGGAUGUUUUCCCAGAGGAUGAGAGGCUAAACCAAUAGUUUCUUGGAGUAAAGGAAGCUAGGUGAAAAGUCCAGAUUAAAAGGUGGAAAGUUUCAGUGCAUUAAAUUCAGGUAGUUGGAAUCCAUAAAUGGCUUCUAAAUCCAAAGUUUUGCUUUAAAUUCCUUAGAAUCACUUUGACUGGCCAAUACAUGGUAAGCUUAAGGUCUCUGUGGAUGCUUAUUGCUAGAUCCAUAUCAGUCCAUUAGUUAUCAUGUACGAGCUAGUGGAAAGUGAUUCAAGGUGAUAACCCAUAGUGUCUUAAGCCAUUAAUGGACCUUGACUACCAUCUCUAUUGACUUUUUAUGGAUUAAAUCUUCAUUGUCAAACCUAUACCGGUUCGGGAAAUAACUAUAGGUUAAAUCCCCAAUGCGAGGAGAAAAAUCCGGAAUUUUCCACUUUGCAUCCUGAACUUGAACCUAGCAACCUUUAGCUCCGGGAGACUUUCUUUCUUCCACUUUCACUUAGUUCUAUGUGAGUUUAGUUUUAAUCACUACUUUCAAAACAAUUUUAUUUUCUUUUAAAUUUCAAGUUUGUGCUAAAGGAAAUCAUCAGAAUCAAUUUCUAAUUUAGAGUCUGUCACUGAUAGAGUGAAAACCCAUCCCUGAGUUCGACCCUAGAACUGCUAUACUAUAGUAGCUUUGCUACGCCAGUAUAAGGUCAUAGGAUUUAUAAAUAUUUUUGAUUAAAAGACCCGGCGGGGCAUGGAAUCAGCUAUUCAAGCAUUCCUUUGGGAUAUGGAAAUAUUUAAUAAAAGAACAUUACUAAGAUUAUUGAAUAUAGAUGAUUUUCUUAAUUUAUUUUUUCAUAUCCAAGUGGACCAUACUAACCCUAAAUUUUCCAAGCAAUUCAUCUUUAUUUCAACUCUCAAUAAUUACAAUUGUGUAAAAAACUCCAUAAACAUCAUUUUUCUAGUUUUAAUAGUUAUCCACAUGGAUGACUUUUCCCUUAUAUCUAAGAUGAGAAAUUAGAUGUUAAUGGUCAAUCGAAUCGCCGAGUGUUAUCGUACCUACCAAUUGGAUCACUAUAUACAAUGGUAUAGAAUAAGGAUAGAGGUUUCUCCACAUUCCUUUUACAUAGAGUUUCAUUUUUAUUUUAGUUUUUGUCAUAAAAUAUGAUGAAUUUGUGUCUGAGGGAGUCAUGGAGACAGCAAGUUAUUAUGAAACAUAGUCUAACUAUGAUACAUAAUAGGGAUUAGAAGGGUAUGUUUGAAUUUCCACUACAAGUUAGGAUAGAGUUAGCAGUAGAAUUGGUACUACCUCAAAAGUAAAAAUGUAGAAUACAAGAAAGAAACCAAAAGAUAAGGUUGAGGCCUAGCAUAAAAUUAAUUAGAUUAAAAUCAUAUCACAUGAACAUGUAAUUUAGCAUUUUUUUUUAAUUCCAAGAGCAUAACAAGCUAAUUACUUUUUUUCUUAAUUUUUUAUAGGUGUAUCGAAGAAAAUAAUUGUGACAGGUAAUAUUCUAUUCAUACAUAUUUUAUUAUAGAGAUAAAGAUUCUUAAUUUGGUUAUUUUAUCUAUUUAUUUAUAUAAAAAAGUUUAAGUUUUCUUCUUCUUAUGUACGCAAGUGCAAUCUUUGGUUUCUUUCUUCUCGUGUUAGUGAUUAUUAUGCUUUAUCGUGUCUAUAGCUUAGAUAAAGUAGAAAGAGAUAAUAGAGUAACGGUUAAAAAGUUUCUAGAAGACUAUGAAGCUCUCAAACCCUCAAGAUACUCCUAUGCUGAUGUUAAAAGGAUUACAAGUCAAUUCAAAGAUAAAUUAGGCCAAGGAGGAUAUGGAACUGUGUACAAAGGAAAGCUUUCAGAUGAAGUUUUUGU
rnacentral:lncRNA from 1 species